GUUGAACGCUGGCGGAAUGCUUUACACAUGCAAGUCGAACGGCAGCACGGACUUCGGUCUGGUGGCGAGUGGCGAACGGGUGAGUAAUGUAUCGGAACGUGCCCAGUCGUGGGGGAUAACGUAGUGAAAAUUACGCUAAUACCGCAUACGAUCUAUGGAUGAAAGCGGGGGAUCGCAAGACCUCGCGCGAUUGGAGCGGCCGAUAUCAGAUUAGGUAGUUGGUGGGGUAAAGGCCCACCAAGCCAACGAUCUGUAGCUGGUCUGAGAGGACGACCAGCCACCGUGAAACUGAGACACGGUCCAGACUCCUCCGGGAGGCAGCAGUGGGGAAUUUUGGACAAUGGGCGAAAGCCUGAUCCAGCCAUUCCGCGUGCAGGAUGAAGGCCCUCGGGUUGUAAACUGUUUUUGUACAGAACGAAAAGGUUUCUACUAAUACUAGGGGCUCAUGACGGUACUGUAAGAAUAAGCACCGGCUAACUACGUGCCAGCCGCCGCCGUAA
rnacentral:rRNA from 1 species